rnacentral:rRNA from 1 species
UCUUCCGCAAUGGACGAAAGUCUGACGGAGCACCGCCGCGCGAGUGAUGAAGCUUUUCGGAUCGUAAAGCUCUUUUGUUAGGGAAGAACAAGUGCCGUUCUAAUAGGGCGGCACCUUGACUGUACCUAACCAGAACGCCACGGCUAACUACGUGCCAGCAGCCGCGGUAAUACGUAGGUGGCAAGCGUUGUCCGGAAUUAUUGGGCGUAAAGGGCUCGCAGGCGGUUUCUUAAGUCUGAUGUGAAAGCCCCCGGCUCAACCGGGGAGGGUCAUUGGAAACUGGGGAACUUGAGUGCAGAAGAGGAGAGUGGAAUUCCACGUGUAGCGGUGAAAUGCGUAGAGAUGUGGAGGAACACCAGUGGCGAAGGCGACUCUCUGGUCUGUAACCGACGCUGAGGAGCGAAAGCGUGGGGAGCGAACAG